ensembl:lncRNA
AGUCGCUAAGGGUCGGACACGACUGAGCGACUUCACUUUCACUUUUCACUUUUCAUGCAUUGGAGAAGGAAAUGGCAACCCACUCCAGUGUUCUUGCCUGGAGAAUCCCAGGGAUGGGGGAGCCUGGUGGGCUGCUGUCUAUGGGGUCACACAGAGUUGGACACGACUGAAGCGACUUAGCAGCAGCAGCAGAACAACCUUAUUCCAGAUAAGGUUACAUUCCGAGGUGCUGGGUUAGGACUUCAGUGUGGAUUUGGAGGGGACUCAGUCAGCCCCUGACAGAGCCUCCCAGUGUUGGGACAGCUCCACCUUGACGAGCACUGCGUCCUACAGAAAGCAGAGUCAGGACCCAGUUCAGGCUGGGUUGGAAUUCUGACUGCAGGGUCCUUGGGCAGGUUGCCCUGAUUUCCAGUCUACAAGAAGGAGAUGAAAUCAACACUCCAGGUAUGGAAUCAAGUCAAAUGCGAUCAGGCCCACCCACUGUCUGGCUUCUACCUCGUAAUCCCAGAGGGCUGCUGAUGCACCAGCCAUUAUGUGUAGGUUCCAGUGAGCAGGGAGAAGGGGAUAAAGAACGGUGCCCUCUUCCCUUUGUCACACUUCCACUUGGGGCCUAUUGGUUGAUCCAUCUGCCAACACAACAGUGCAAUUUUGGGGGAAUUUGAAAAAGGCAAUUCCUCUACCAGACACAGAAGGACACACAGCUUGACAAGACCACACUGCCUUUGUGCAAACUGGAAAAAUAUUGAAUUAGCCCAUUACUAUCCUUUCUCAAGGCAGACCUGGGACACAGCCUGGUGCUGGAGACCUUCUAGGUUAAGCAGAGGGUAUGUUCUCUAGGCCCACCAUCUCUGCUCCAAACUCUCACACUGGGCACAGCUGGCAUUAGUCAGCACAGGAGGCUGCCCUGCCCCCUGACCUGAAUAUGGGAACACGGCCAAUCUUAGCUGCAAGGGAGGCUGGGAAGUGCAAUCUUUAUUCAGUGGCCACAGGCUCAGCUUAAAAUAGGGGUGUUGUUCCAAAGAAGUCCUAAGGAAGAAAAAAGUAGGGUGCUGGUUUGAGUCUCUGCCACACCCUCACCCAAGGAACCCUUUAAAAUGAAACCCCAAAUGACAGACAGCUGGCUCAGGACACUGGGGCCCCAAAGGGCAAGCUGGUGGAGUACCUUGGGUCCAAAUCCAUGGUUGUUCCACACAGCUGAUGGACCUUCCCUGCUGGGGCCGUGGACAUGGGUUAUGCUUGGCGGUACCCAGCAGGAAGGGG